UAGCCUUGACAUUGAUGGAAUCUUUCAGAGAUGGAGGAGUGCCCGUUUUAGGGAGCCUGAAAAC
rnacentral:rRNA from 1 species